GAUGAAGAACGUAGUGAAAUGCGAUAAGUAAUGUGAAUUGCAGAAUUCAGUGAAUCAUCGAAUCUUUGAACGCACAUUGCGCCCCCUGGUAUUCCGGGGGGCAUGCCUGUCCGAGCGUCAUUACAACCCUCAAGCUCAGCUUGGUGUUGGGCCCCGCCGUCCCGGCGGGCCCUAAAGUCAGUGGCGGUGCCGUCCGGCUCCGAGCGUAGUAAUUCUUCUCGCUCUGGAGGUCCGGUCGUGUGCUCGCCAGCAACCCCCAAUUUUUUCAGGUUGACCUCGGAUCAGGUAGGGAUACCCGCUGAACUUAAGCAUAUCAAUAAGCGGAGGA
rnacentral:misc_RNA from 1 species